rnacentral:lncRNA from 1 species
CAAAUCCAGAUCGAACGGGAGAACCGAGACAACUUUCGCCCACAUUAAGAAUGGCGCAAGAAUAGUUAUUAUUGUUCCACUUAAUAUAUCUAUCAACUAGCCCGGCGUUGGAAGCGGGGAAAAAGCAGUUUCUGAAAAUUUCGACCAUAAUUUUGAUGUUAAAGAAGAGCCAGCUGAGGGACCAAUUCUCAUCGUUCAGGCACAUCAGGUUGCGAAGGCUCUUUGUGUUUAUUUG